rnacentral:rRNA from 1 species
UAAGAUUUUUAGUUUCUAACCUGCAUAAGUGGAUUAUGAGGGACAGUGUUUGGUGGGCAGUUUGACUGGGGCGGUCGCCUCCUAAAAAGUAACGGAGGCGUUCAAAGGUUCCCUCAAAAUGGUCAGACCAUAAAUCCACAUAUUUAAGGUUUUACAAAGAAAAAGGGGAGAAACUAAAUAACUCAACCUCAAUCUUCGCGCAGAAUACGUAAGAAAUACUGAUGAUUUUAUGAUCAACAUUAAAAAUGACAAAAGAUAAAGCGG